GAGUAACACGUGGAUAACCUACCUAUAAGACUGGGAUAACUUCGGGAAACCGGAGCUAAUACCGGAUAAUAUUUUGAACCGCAUGGUUCAAAAGUAAAAGACGGUCUUGCUGUCACUUAUAGAUGGAUCCGCGCUGCAUUAGCUAGUUGGUAAGGUAACGGCUUACCAAGGCAACGAUGCAUAGCCGACCUGAGAGGGUGAUCGGCCACACUGG
rnacentral:rRNA from 1 species